rnacentral:rRNA from 1 species
GAUGAACGCUGGCGGCGUGCCUAAUACAUGCAAGUCGAGCGAACAGACGAGGAUCUUGCUCCUCUCACGUUAGCGGCGGACGGGUGAGUAACACGUGGAUAACCUACCUAUAAGACUAGGAUAACUUCGGGAAACCGGAUCUAAUAUCGGAUAAUCUAUUGAACUGCAUGGUUCAAUAGUUAAAGACGGUUUUGCUGUCACUUACAGAUUGACCCGCGCUGCAUUAGCUAGUUGGUAAGGUAACGGCUUACCAAGGGAACGAUGCGUAGCGGAGCUGAGAGGGUGAUCGGCCACACUGGAGGUGAGACACGAUCCAGACUCCUACGUGAGGCAGCAGUAGCGAAUCUACGGCGAUGGGGGAAAGCUUGACGGAGCAGUGCCGCGUGAGUGCUGAAGGGCUUCGGAUCGGAUGACUCUGUUCUUAGGGAAGAACAAAUGUGUAAGUAACGAUGCACGUCUUGACGGUACCUAAUAAGAAAGCCCCGGCUAACUACGUG